UAAUACGUAGGGGGCAAGCGUUGUCCGGAAUCAUUGGGCGUAAAGCGCGUGUAGGCGGUUACGUAAGUCUGCUGUGAAAGUCGGAGGCUCAACCUUCGAAAGCCGGUGGAUACUGCGUGACUAGAGUACGGAAGAGGAGAGUGGAAUUCCUGGUGUAGCGGUGAAAUGCGCAGAUAUCAGGAGGAACACCAACGGCGAAGGCAGCUCUCUGGGACGUUACUGACGCUGAGACGCGAAAGCGUGGGGAGCAAACAGGAUUAGAUACCCUGGUAGUCCACGCCGUAAACGAUGGUCACUAGAUGUGGGGGGUGUCGACUCCCCCCGUGUCGUAGCUAACGCGUUAAGUGACCCGCCUGGGGAGUACGGCCGCAAGGCUA
rnacentral:rRNA from 1 species